ensembl:lncRNA
UUCCAGUCAUCUGGGACCUCCCCUGAUCGCCAUGAGUUUUCAAAAAUAAUGGCUAAUGGCUCUGCAAUCUCACCCGCCAACUCCUUUAGCACCCUUGGAUGCAGCACAUCCGGCCCCAUGGACUUGUGCACGUCCAGUUUUUCUAAAUAGUCCCGAACCACUUCUUUCUCCACAGAGGGUUGAUCACCUUCUCCCCAUGCUGUACUGCCCAGUGCAGCAAUCUGGGAGCUGACCUUGUGCGUGAAGACAGAGGCAAAAAAAUCAUUGAGUACAUUAGCUUUUUCCACAUCCUCGGUCACUAGGUUGCCUCCCUUAUUCAGUAAGGGGCCCACACUUUCCUUGAUUUUCUUCUUGUUGCUAACAUAGCAUCACUUUCUUCUAUUCACCUGACAGAUGUUGGCUUUACAGUAUGGAAACCUUCAACUACGAUGCACCAAGCAGAGCUAAAACUGGCCUGCUACAUUGCCUGCCACUCAAUGGUUAGUUCCAUGGAUCAUUUUGGGGAACUUGUCAGAUCAGCUUUCAAGAGAGAGGGACAAAUUCAAACCCGAUUGAACACUCUGAAGAAAGAGAGAGAAGAACUUUUGGAGUGGAGACAGGAUGGAGAGAAGCAAAGCCAGGAAUAUCUGUCUUCUUCUUUUGCAGUGCUUCCAAGACACCCACCAGCAGCUUCAUCAGCACAAUGUAGGGGCCCUAAGGCCACCAUGAAAUCUAGUCAGUUGACACUCGUUGACAACAUGUGCCAUUGACUGAGGGAGGCCACAGUGACAAAGCGGGUUGCUGCGCAGACCCCAUGUGUAGAGGUUGGCUGUGCAUAUUCCUUGGCAGUUCGGAACUUGUUCAGCAGAGUCCAAAGGUAAUGCGGCAGGUCAAAUUCAGGUGGUCGAACAGUUGGAUCAGUGACAAGGAAACCAUUCGAAACAUCUUUAGCCAACCACUCGUUGCUCCAUAGGGUUGCUGCUGACAGAUUCUGAUCUGGCAGUUGAGAUUUGUGCAGUGCAGACGUACCUUAAAUCAAUUUUUAAUGUAAUGUCUUUAUUAGGACUGUCUAUUAAUCGCAGUUAACUCAUGUGAUUAACUAAAAAAAAUUAAUCAGGAUUUAAAAAAUUAAUCGCAAUUAAUCACAGCUUUAAUCACACAGUUAAACAAUAGAUUACCAAUUGAAAUUUAUUAAAUAUUUUGCAUGUUUUUCUGUAUUUUCAAAUAUAUUAAUUUCAAUUGCAACACAGAAAACAAAGUGUACAGUGCUCACUUUAUAUUCUUUUUUAUUACAAAAGUUGGCACUGUAAAAAUGAUAAAAGAAAUAAUAUUUUUCAAGUCACCUUAUACAAGUACUGUAGUGCAAUCUCUUUAUCAUGAAAGUGAAACUUACAAAUGUAGUUUUUUUGGUUACAUAACUGCACUCAUAAACAAAACAAUGUAAAACUUUAGAGCCCAGAAGUCCACUCAGUCCUACUUCUUGUUCAGCCAAUCGCUAAGACAAACAAGUUUGUUUACAUUUUCGGGAGAUAAUGCUGCCCACUUCUUAUUUACAAUGUCACCUGACAGUGUUCACAUGGAACUUUUGUAGCCGCCAUUGCAAGGUAUUUAUGUGCCAGAUAUGCUAAACAUUUUUAUGCCUCUUCAUGCUUUGGCCACCAUUCCAGAAAACAUGCUUCCAUACUGAUGAUGCUCAUUAAAAAAAUAAUGCAUUAAUUAAAUUUGUGACUGAACUCCUUGGGAGAGAAUUGUAUGUCUUCUGUUCUGUUUUACCCGCAUUCUGCCAUAUAUUUCAUGUUAUAGCCAUCUUGGAUGAUGACCCAGCACAUGUUGUUCAUUUUAAGAACACUUCCACUGCAGAUUUGACAAAACACAAAGAAGUUACCAAUGUGAAAUUUCUAAAGAUACAGCAUUUGACCCAAGGUUUAAGAAUCUGAAGUGCCUCUGGCACAAAAUCUGAGAGGGAUGAGGUGUGGAUCAUGCUUUCAGAAGUCUAAAAAGAACAACACUCUGAUGCGGAAACUACAGAACCUGAACCAUCAAAAAAGAAAAUCAACCUUCUGCUGGUGGCAUCUGGCUCAGAUGAUGAAAAUGAACAUGCAUCGGUCUGUACUGCUUUGGAUUAUUAUCGAGCAGAACCCAUCAUCACCAUGGACACAAGUCCUCUGGAAUGGUGGUUAAAGCAUGAAGGGGCAUAUGAAUCUUCAGUGCAUCUAGCACAUACAUUUCUUGUGACGCUAGAUACAACAGUGCCAUGCAAACGCCUGUUCUGACUUUCAGGUGACAUUGUAAACAAGAAGCGGGCAACAUUAUCUCACGCAAAUGUGAAUACACUUGUUUGUCUGAGCGAUUGGCUGAACACGAAGUAGGACUGAGUGGACUUGUAGCCACUAAAGUUUUACAUUGUUUUGUUUUUGAAUGCAGUUAUUUUUGUACAUAAUUCUACAUUUGUAAGUUCAACUUUAUGCUAAAGAGAUUGCACUACAGUACUUGUAAUGGGGGAAUUGAAAAAUACUAUUUCUUUUGUUUUUUACUGUGCAAAUAUUUGUAAUCAAAAAUAAAUAUUAAGUGAGCACUGUACA